AGCGAACGCUGGCGGCCGGCCUAACACAUGCAAGUCGAACGGCAGUACCGUAUGAAUUUGUUCUUACGGAUGGGGAGUGGUGGACGGAUGAGGACAACACCGUAACCUUCUUUUUCGUGGGGGAUAACGCAGGUCACAUUACUACAACAUCGGAUCUGACCCUCCAGUGUGAGCAGGGGAUCUUCACACCUUUCGCGAUUGACUGAGCUGAUGUCGGAUUUGUUAGUUGGCGGGGUGAUGGCCAACCAAGUCGCCGAUCCGUAGCUGGACUGAGAGGCUGAUCAGCCACACUGGAACUGAGACACGGUCCAGACUCCUACGGGACGCAGCAGAGGGGAAUAUUGGCCAAUAGGCGGAGGCCUGACCCAGCCGUACCGAGUGGGUGAAAAAGGCCUCCGGGGUGUAAUGACCUUUUGUUGGGUAAGAAACGCAGCAGGUUAAUACCCAGCUGGUCUGACGGUACCCAAAGAAUAAGCACCGGCUAACUUCGUG
rnacentral:rRNA from 1 species